GUUUGUAGUUCUUCGACCCUAAUGAUCUACGGAAAGGAGGUAUAAACAAAGAAUAUAACAAUGUUAUGUUGUUGGGAGUUUGACAUUUCAACAUCACCAACAUCCCAAGCAAUCCCACCAUGUGACCCAGAUAGUCAAGAUGAUGAGCUGGAUAGUGUACUUCCACCAACAGAAUUACAUCAGCCAACUGAUUGUAUAACUAUUUAUAUUGCCAAUAAACCCUGUUUGCCCUGACAGACAUUCAUACACACCGAAUGAUGGAAGAAGCGCC